GUUCAGGCCUUUGAGAGCUUUGUAAAAUCACCCGCGUUUCUGUUACCAGGACGGCUCCCUGGAAAAGUGACCCAGGGCUAUUUUCCCUACAGUGGACAAGUUCUCCAUCCAGGCGACCACGGAAUGUGCAGCCCUGCCUGCAGCAGCUCCGGGCACAGCCCCGGGGCAGGAACCAGCUGAGCGACAGAAGUUGGGGGAAGCGGCGGAACUGCUGACUGUCCCCAGGGCUACCAACACUAGUGACCCCCUGGGGCCUGGCCCUCCAGGGCCUCACAAAGAACCAGAGACUCCCAGCGAGCACCCCCUUUCCUGGGACCGGUUGUGCCCUUAUCUGCAUGCCCCGCCAGCCAGAGGAAGCUGGGGGCUCAAGCACAGGUUCCUGCUGCCAAAGGCCUAGCAGCACUCGGGGCCAAGCCCCGCCCCACUGGGCUGGGCUGUGGGUGCUCCUGCCAGUGCCCAGGGAGGGAAAGCAUCCCAGCCCCGUGCAGGGCCAGGGGUGGACGCACAUGCUCGGCUCAGCUCCACAGUGGGUUCCGAGGGACGUAUUGGCUACAGGGAAGGUGUGGCACAGGUCUCUGAUUCACUCAGGAAUGCAUUUUGUCAGAGAGAUAUGA
rnacentral:lncRNA from 1 species